rnacentral:tRNA from 1 species
GGGCGGGUGGCGGAAUGGCAGACGCAGGGGACUUAAAAUCCCCUGGGGCGAAAGCCCCGUGCGGGUUCGAGUCCCGCCCCGCCCA